GAUGAACGCUGGCGGCGUGCCUAAUACAUGCAAGUCGAGCGAACAGAUGAGAAGCUUGCUUCUCUGAUGUUAGCGGCGGACGGGUGAGUAACACGUGGGUAACCUACCUAUAAGACUGGGAUAACUCCGGGAAACCGGGGCUAAUACCGGAUAAUAUUUUGAACCGCAUGGUUCAAUAGUGAAAGGCGGUUUCGGCUGUCACUUAUAGAUGGACCCGCGCCGUAUUAGCUAGUUGGUAAGGUAACGGCUUACCAAGGCGACGAUCCGUAGCCGACCUGGGAGGGUGAUCGGCCACACUGGAACUGAGACACGGUCCAGACUCCUACGGGAGGCAGCAGUAGGGAAUCUUCCGCAAUGGGCGAAGGCCUGACGGAGCAACGCCGCGUGAGUGAUGAGGGUCUUCGGAUCGUAAAACUCUGUUGUUAGGGAAGAACAAAUUUGUUAGUAACUGAACAAGUCUUGACGGUACCUAACCAGAAAGCCACGGCUAACUACGUGCCAGCAGCCGCCGUAA
rnacentral:rRNA from 1 species